ACCGUCUUUUCACGUGUUGGACCGUUGCGUGGUCGUCGCUGGUUGGCCCGUUGGCGGAUGAGGUGAGGGCAGCAGCCUCUUCGUCCUCCCAUUCGCCCCCUCCCCCCUCUCUCCAUUGCCCGAUCUCCUCUCCAAGCCGCCAGCACACCCCCUGCCAUCGCGCCGCCGUCGUCGUUCCCGCUCGUCCCGGCCCCCAUCCUCGACCUCCCUUUUCGUUCUUCCCCACACCGUGUCCGUGCCGCGCGGGGUGGCGCUACAGGACCUGCUCGCGCGCCUCGCCGACGCCACCGGCCCGCACUUCCCGGUCAGGUACCAGCUCCCUGACAAGGGCCUCGACGCGCUCAUCUUGGUCUCCUCACCCAAGGAUCUCGACGGCCCCAAGCUGCGGGUCUUCAUCUUCCCAUCUCCAACGUGGCGGCGGGGGAUGAGGGUGGUGAGGGCAGCGCCGGGUUUGACGCCGCUCACGACGCCGGACGCGGCGGUGCGGCCGCAUGUGGGCUGCCUCCCCGGCCUUCCGCAUGCAGCUCUUCCUGCUCCGCUCUCUCGUGCCCACCUGCGUAGAUGACGGCCACGCCUCCUCGAGCUAUCUUCGUCCCCGCGCGAUGUAUGCAACAUCGGCGGACGCGGAGUCGGUGAUCCAGCGAAUCACGCCUCCGCUCGAUCGCGCAAGGCACAAGGGUCAGACAGAUAUGUUUUGAGAUUUCCCUAGAGCCGACCAAUAAAACAACACUAGUUUAUAUAACACAUCGUUUCUUCACAAUUUGACUACUACGGUCACCGAAUCCUUGGAACAGGUAACCAGCCAAGGUUGCUUCAGCUAUGUAGAUUUUUUUCUCAAAGCUAAAUUUGUUUUGUUAGAUGAUGAUAAGCAUCAUAUCUGGCAGUUAUGUGGAGUAGGAAUAUUUCUGUAGCACUCAGUGUUUAUUUGCACCUUUUGUUUGUUUACAUUGCAAAGUUUUGGAACGUUUCAUUUUAUAGCCAUCCCUAUCGUCUAUCGAUUAUUUUGUUUCUUCCGAAAGGCUGCCUCCUUUGAUUUGUGUUGUUAAUGUAGUAUUGAGUUUCAUGAUUGAAUGUUGUCUUGCCCUUGUGUUUCAGCGACAUCAUGUAUGGUAACAUAAGAAUGGUAUUUUGUUACUACUUCGCCCUUAAGUAGUGUGUCUUACUCAAUAUAGUUGUCUAAUUUUAGCUCAUCCAUGUGCAAAGGUGGAUUCUAGCUUGAUGUGAUCAUAUGUGAUGUCUAUGUCCUGCUUUUAUUUCCUCUUUGUUUUCCAAUGAUGCCUUGCAUUGCUUUGCCUGCAUAAAGUUCACUUCCUCGGCACAUUUUAGUUCACAGGAGGUAGUUCUGGUUAAUUUUCUUUGUCUCCUGCAUUUUUGUGCAGAUCAAUUCCUACUCAUGUUUUACCCUUGCAUUUGGCAAUGAAUGGAUUGAAAGAUACCGAUCAUUGCUAUGUUGUGCCAGUUGUCUGUAGGAGCUUGCUUUCGAGUUGUUUUACUACCUUAAGAAGUAUCUUGGUAGUUGUUGAUUGACUUGAGUAGCCCUUAGAAGAGUUUAUUUAUUUUCCUUAAGUAUCUUGCUUGCAUCAAGUGGUUAGAUACUUUUACAUUUUAUAUACCUACGUGUUGCUUGGUUGUGUCCUUCGACUGGCACUUGGGAAAUUACUUGAGCUGCAGUGCACCACCAUGCCUCAUUGAGCUCCCUAAUUUGGCUAGAACAGAGGUCUACAACUAAGGGCUACUGUAUUUACAUUUUAUAUACAUGUGAAAGUUAUCUUUGUGAUUCGCUUCGGUUAGCAUCGAUUUCAAUGCAUAUGUCUUCCUUUCUCUUGUCAGUAGUGCAAUAUACUUCUAUUAAAUGAGAAAUAAUCCAGAGCAAUUCCUUCCAUUGUAUAUGAAGCUCUGCUAGGUUCCGAACAUAAAGAUCUCUUAUUACAGUGUAAACUGCUAGCAGAGCUACAUAGCGGAGUACAGAGUUGAUGUGAAGCUCUGCUAAGUUCCAAACAGAAAGAUCAACCCUAUUCUAAGGUUCAAUAUAUGAUUCUUUCUUUCAGUGUUCUUCCUUGAAAAUAAUCAAUGAUCAAAUCAUCUUCUUAGGUAUUGAUUUUUCUUUCUCAUGUUAAGCUAGCAUUUUGGUGCCGUGUAUUUCUAGAUUGUGCUCCUGCUAACUUGGCCCCCGUACUAAAGAUGCAUGGCUUGAUUUUAAAGUUAUGGUUAUGAACACAAAGCUAAUUUCUUGUGAAUUAAUCCCUAGAAUCUCUCUUUCGGCAGGUUCUUAUUUAUCUAUGCCUAUAUGUUGUUCCAUGAAAAUACAAGUAGACUCCAAGGUGGUGCUGCUUGGAUCUGGGGGAGCACUGGUGAGCCAUCCCUUCUCCGCCACCAUCCCUGAUUUCUUUGUGUGCAGUACAUAUGCAUGUUGUUUUAGAGCUACCCCCGUAUACAUCUGAUUAGUGAUUAACUUGCUGCAAAGAAGCCGUGUAGUCAUGAAAGUUGAACCAUGCCUGAAUUAGAAAUGACAGUUUUGUUGAUUUGCCUACUUUAUCUCAAGAACACGCCAUCCAUUGAUAUUUUCUAUAGAUCUUAGCUUCACUGUUCGAGUCUCUCGUGAGUGCAUUAAUCCCAAUCUGACACAAGAUAUUAUUCUUUGUUCCCCUUUCAUUUUGUUACUUACUUGUAGAGAGAAUGGAUCUUAAUUUUGAUUUUAUGAAUAGCCACAUCAAUUCUCUGAUUGUGGCACACACAAAUAAUUAGCUCUCUUCACUUCGAUUUGAAUUUGAGAGUAAUCAGUAGAGGAUUGGAUUCAUGGUCGCAAGAUCUCUAAGAUCGAUUAACUUGCUUUUAAUAUUAUAUGAAGUUCAAAUCCCUUUAUAUUCCAAGACAAGAAACACUGAGUUGUAAAACUCUGUCAGUGUUGAAUAGUGUAACAAAACACAUAUUGGGAUAAUUCUACUUUAAUUUGUUUGCCAUACUUACCAGCUCACCUGAUUUACCAGCUGUAAGCUUCAUUGAUCCAAAACCAUUUUAGCCAUCAUGAGAUCGAAGUUUGUAGGCCCCCCUUGAAUAAGCUAACGUUUCCACCUUAUUGUGGGUACCACGAAAACAUUAAUAAUAAGAGGCACAAACAAAUAUUAUUUUGUUUGUUUAGAUGAUGCAUUUCGUAACGUAUCAUGCAUUGAAAUAAUGAAUCCCUUGCUAUGUAGUAUUAUUUGUGCAAUUCCAUGCUACUCUGGGUGGAAGUUAUGUAUUAAUACUUUCAGUAUUGAUGGAUGGAUAGAUGUAUUGUGGUAAUAUAUAUUUUUGGGCACCCUGUGUGAUAAUAUUUUGAGAGAGUCUACCUCGAGAGAAUUACAUGAUGCAAGGGGUAUAACUUCGGUUCAGAUUCUUAUACAUAGUUCUCCUUAUAAUGUAGACUGUGACGUAUGAUGCUUCCAUGGCUUAGUUCAAGGAAUGACUGAUGCUAUUUUCUUGCCUAUGGGUUUGGGCUACUAAUUUUUAUUGCCAUAAUUUAUUGUUUGUCAUCUAAAAAGGAUUCAGAGGGAUACAAAGGGUCCUCUAAUUUGCAACCGAUUAAACUGCUUGGUUCCUGAUUCAUAUUUGUUUUUCUAUAUUAUGGACAACCGAUUAAGAAUAUUUACAGAGUAGGAGUCUUCGUUUGAUGCCACAUUUGACAUCACCCAGUUUGUGUGUAGGGUGCUUAAUAAGUUUCUUGAGAUGUAUGCACUGCAUGAAGGAGCACAUUUCUGUCAAUUUUACUAGAGGUCAAGGUUACCUUCAAAUGCAUGUAGUUAUUUGUAAGCUUCAACAGCUUGAAUGCAAUGGAAGUUUGGAUUGAAAGGAUUUUUGGUUGGCUAUAAGGAAGAGAGUAGUUGAUGGCCAUUUGUACUGUUGUUGUGGUCGUCCUUGGCGCAGAAGGGGUGGCGGGGGAGGCACAGAGAUGGGGCAAACCUUUCACUGUGUCUAAUCCACUUGAUUCCAUCAUUUUCUAUGAGAUGCACCAAUGAUUGUAACGAAUCUUCACGCUUUGUACUAAACCUUUACUACUAUGUAUUUUGUUUGCUCCUAUGUCAUGAGAAAUUCCAAAUGUUGGAUUUGUGCCUGGCACAUGCCGCGAGCCGGCUCAGUUGUCCCGGGCCUUGCUUUUGGAACAAAUGUUUGCUUACCUUGCUUUUGCUAUAUCUUCACCAUUUGUGAUGUACCAAACGUUUUCUUAAUCUGUAUGCUCUAAACUCGGUUUUCCUGGGCAACAACUAUAUACCUUACUUUCAGUAUAUCUCUAGUGUUUGUGAUUUGUACAUAACACAUUUGGCUUGACCAGUUAUUCUAAUUUCCUCUGAAUGUACAAAAUGCUAUGUUGGAGUUU